CAUCCUGCAACAGAGAGAUAUGGUCAGCAUACAGCCCAUACGUGGCAUGGGCGACUCACAUAUGGAGCGGCGCGCUGGGCGUCAAGGAAGUAUUCGCACACAGAUCUCGACACAACCGAGCGCCAAUGCUUUUCCAGGAAGACCUCGCUGAAAUGCGGAUAUGUGGGGAUGAAUCAUUAGCGAUGACAGCGUAAAGGUGUUCUACUACCGUGCUCACGAAGCGCCUCAGUUACUUUUAAAUAAUUUCAUGAAUAGACUGAAGAAAACGAACAGUGAUUUAAGUAAUUGUCAUCACGUAAACUCAUCACUAGCUGACUCCCACAUCUCUAAUCGAACAGCUGAUUGCUGCGAACCGGAACGAAUGGAAAUUGUAUCGUGA